rnacentral:piRNA from 1 species
UAGGUGGUAAACCUGCCUCACUGUCCCUGUU